GGUGAUGCUGCAAUGGAUAAGACGCCUGCCUUUGGUGUGAGCAUUUUGAAAUCUGCUGUUUUAAAGUAUAUAAAUCUUUUUAACUGUUUUAACCUCUUUCCCUUGACUGAUAUGUUUAUCUUUUAGUCCAUGUGUUUAUUUCUCUCUGUGAUUAUUUCAUUGCCUAUCACACAUAUGUUGGCAAUAAGGUUUUAAAAUGUUUAAACUUUCCUAUGAAAGGGUGAAUCUCAUAGUGUAUCAGUUUGUUUUACAGGUUGAUCAACUGAGGAUCUGAAAAAAUGCCGGGAGGCAGGGCCUUUCUGCUCUUGGCCAAUCACAAUCUGAAUCUGAAACACCUGGGAAGUUCUUUCAGUUUUCGCUUCUGAAACCCACUUCUGUGUUCGCUGUCAUUUCUCUAGCUAUCUGCUCUUUUGUGUGGAGAUUUUAUGUUUCUGACAGAAACCUGGCUUCAUGCUGGUCCAUCCUGUUCAGUGUCAGGCUAAGAGUGAGGAGAAAUAGAUUAGAAAACAUAGAUGUGCAUCAUGUGCAGUAUUCAGAGGCUGCCGAGGAACACGCAGCACCUGAAAAUAGUCCCCGUUGAAUUCUACGGGGACUAUUUUCACGUGCUGCGUAAUAUCACUGCGCCCAUGGUACGUUUGCAACGUUCCUUGAUUAUUACGCCAGGAUGAGAGUAUAGUUCCAUGUCAAAUCAGCCUAGAAAAUUGCCAUGUUUCAUUUUCCGCUAGUUUUAUCGCACGUUCUAACUUGAGAAGAGACAACUUUUAAAUAGGAAAAAUUCCGGAAAUCUUAGUCAUUUUGAGGGUGAGAUGCUAAUGGUCUAAUCCGAUCCAAUGAUCUAUGCUAGACUGGAGCUAUACGUGGUAUUGCUUAAUUCCCCAAAUGGUGGAAUAUCCCUUUAAUUAGUUUGAUAAAAUACACCUGUGUUUACAAAACUAUUACACUGUAACAUAACUUCUGUGGGAUGGGUCUAUUUAAACAGUCACAACAGGGAAUCGAACUGCUGACCCUUCAAUCAUGAGACGACUUGCUCCAACUUCUGAGCUACAACCGUCCCCAAUAGUAUUGUUACCCUGUGAUGCCCACUCCUAGGUGUGUCAGGUGGAAGACCAAAUUGUGUCUAUAUACACAGAGGAAGGAAUGAGUGGGGCAGGGAACCAAUGAUGGAAAAGACAUACGUCAUCCUGCGGAAAUACCUUACCAAAGUGCCUGCUGCAGCGAUGUCUGAGAUCAAACAGGAAUGGCCAUUUCUCUUCUUUCAGAAAUGCCUAUUGUCACACUUUGGCCUCCUGACGGACGUCGAUGUCCUUCAGAAGCUACAGGAGGCAAUUAGUCGACGAGGACAGACCGUCCUGGAUUACUGUGCAACACUGGACAACCCCAAGAUCCGUGAUGUUCUGGCCUGCUAUGAUCCAGACUCUGACAAGGCUGCCUGCAUCCUGCUGCUCCUAAUGUUGUACUUCAAAGAGCCGAAAGAGAGUUUGAUGCUUGAAGUUGAUGUAAGAUUUUUUUAUUCAAAUAUUUAAAAUGCAAAAUGUGUGAUUACAUUAUCAACAU